rnacentral:rRNA from 1 species
CCCCCAAUAAUGUGUGACU